ACAGACAUCACCUGGGGAUUUUGUUAAAAUGUAGAUUCUAAUUAGCUACGUCUAGGGUAGAGCCUGGGAGCCUGCAUUUCUGACAAGCUCCCGGGUGAUGUUGGU
rnacentral:pre_miRNA from 1 species